rnacentral:rRNA from 1 species
GCAGCGCGGGGGCAACCCUGGCGGCGAGUGGCGAACGGGUGAGUAAUAUAUCGGAACGUACCCAAGAGUGGGGGAUAACGUAGCGAAAGUUACGCUAAUACCGCAUACGAUCUAAGGAUGAAAGCAGGGGAUCGCAAGACCUUGUGCUCCUGGAGCGGCCGAUAUCUGAUUAGCUAGUUGGUGAGGUAAAGGCUCACCAAGGCAACGAUCAGUAGCUGGUCUGAGAGGACGACCAGCCACACUGGAACUGAGACACGGUCCAGACUUCUACGGGAGGCAGCAGUGGGGAAUUUUGGACAAUGGGGGCAACCCUGAUCCAGCAAUGCCGCGUGAGUGAAGAAGGCCUUCGGGUUGUAAAGCUCUUUUGUCAGGGAAGAAAAGGGAGUGGCUAAUAUCCAUUCCUGCUGACGGUACCUGAAGAAUAAGCACCGGCUAACUACGUGCCAGCAGCCGCGGUAAUACGUAGGGUGCAAGCGUUAAUCGGAAUUACUGGGCGUAAAGCGUGCGCAGGCGGUUUCGUAAGUCUGUCGUGAAAUCCCCGGGCUUAACCUGGGAAUGGCGAUGGAGACUGCGAGGCUAGAGUUUGGCAGAGGGGGGUAGAAUUCCACGUGUAGCAGUGAAAUGCGUAGAGAUGUGGAGGAACACCGAUGGCGAAGGCAGCCCCCUGGGUCAAAACUGACGCUCAUGCACGAAAGCGUGGGGAGCAAACAGGAUUAGAUA